UCCUCCCGCCGGCUCGCCCAAUUUGAUCUUUAUGGAUAAAAGAGCAGUAGAGAAACAUCUCCUAAGCAGCUAGUCUAUGAUCAUGAAUCUCACUCUGGGCUAAGGGAAUUCCCAGGCAAGUCAGGCCCCACAAACCACGGGCGAAGUCGGCUAUCCAGACGUCUUUCCCCACCUCAUGUUUACUACACCCGGAAAGUCUCCCUUCUUUGCCAUAUAAGGGACUCACGCUCAGCCCAGAACACUACAGCCCCGGGAGUCCCGCUCAGACCCAGUAGCAAGGCUGAGGCAGCAGGGACCCACACCACUGUUCUGGGCCCAAGUUCCUUUGCUCACCCGGUGGUUCUUCACCUUAAUGCAUCACAGAUCUCUUAAGGAAGUCAGUGAAAGCUGUAGACCUUCUCCUCAGAAAAGAGCAAAUAAAGUCAUUCACACUAAACUGCGUAGAUGAUUUCAGAAAAUUAGAAGUCUACAGUCAUCCUAAGCCAAGUGUGGAAGAUGGCAGAGCCCCCAGCUUUAGAUUGUUCAAUUCUUGACUGUUGCGUGAGAAGGAAAUAAAUAUAUAUCUAAUAUGAGCCAC